rnacentral:rRNA from 1 species
GAAUCCGCCAAGGAGUGUGUAACAACUCACCUGCCGAAUGAAUUAGCCCUGAAAAUGGAUGGCGCUGAAGCGGGUGGCCGACACCACGCCGUGUGACCGAGCUUUGUGUCACAUGAGUAGGAGGGCGUGGCGGGCGUGGAGAAGCAUGGGCGCGAGCCUGUGUGAAACGGUCCGCUAGUGCAGAUCUUGGUGGUAGUAGCAAGUAUUCAAGCGAGAACCUUGAAGGGCGAAGCGGGGAAGGGUUCCACGCGAACAUUGAUUGGGCGUGGGUGAGUCGUUCCUAAGUCGAGUGGCAAUUGCUAAGUAGCGGCGAAAGGGAAGCGGGUUGAAAUUCCCGCACACGGGUGUGGAGCGCGGUGACGCAAAAUGGGGCGAACACGCUGGCGACGGCGCUGGGCAGAGUUGUCUUUUCUGUUUGACCGAGUGUGCUGGCUGUGUGGAAUCCGCUUGUCGGGAGAAACACGCUCGCACGGGCAGAGCGCCGGGGCUUUUCCGGCGUCCAGCUCGCCGUCGACGGCCCUUGAAACUUUGCCUGCUGAAUUUUUUUGAAGAUCCACGCCGUGGCGUACCGAUCACCGCAUCAGGUCCCCGAGGUGAACAGCCUCUGCUCGAUAUGAACAAUGCAGGUAAGGGAAGUCGGCA